GGGACUUUGGCGCAGUUGGUAGCGCGUAGGUCUCAUAAUCCUAAGGUCGUGAGUUCAAUCCUCACAGGUCCCA
rnacentral:tRNA from 1 species